CAAUAGCGUAUAUUAAAGUUGUUGCAGUUAAAAAGCUCGUAGUUGGAUUUCGGGACGGUCCGGCUGGUCCGCCGCAAGGCGUGUUACUGACCGGGCUGUCCUUCUUUGCAAAGGCUGCAUGUGCUCUUAACUGAGUGUGUGUAGGAUUUGUGACGUUUACUUUGAAAAAAUUAGAGUGUUCAAAGCAGGCUUAUGCCGUUGAAUAUAUUAGCAUGGAAUAAUAAGAUAGGACUUUGGUACUAUUUUGUUGGUUUGCGCACCAAAGUAAUGAUUAAUAGGGACAGUUGGGGGUAUUCGUAUUCCGUUGUCAGAGGUGAAAUUCUUGGAUUUACGGAAGACGAACUACUGCGAAAGCAUUUACCAAGGAUGUUUUCAUUAA
rnacentral:rRNA from 1 species